rnacentral:tRNA from 2 species
GCACUGGUGGUUUAGUGGUAGAACUCUCACCUUCUGUGUGGGAGCCCCGGGUUCGAUUCCUGGCCGAUGUA